GAAUCUUCCGCAAUGGACGAAAGUCUGACGGAGCAACGCCGCGUGAGUGAAGAAGGUUUUCGGAUCGUAAAACUCUGUUGUUAAAGAAGAACAAGGAUGAGAGUAACUGCUCAUCCCCUGACGGUAUUUAACCAGAAAGCCACGGCUAACUACGUGCCAGCAGCCGCGGUAAUACGUAGGUGGCAAGCGUUGUCCGGAUUUAUUGGGCGUAAAGCGAGCGCAGGCGGUUCUUUAAGUCUGAUGUGAAAGCCCCCGGCUCAACCGGGGAGGGUCAUUGGAAACUGGAGAACUUGAGUGCAGAAGAGGAGAGUGGAAUUCCACGUGUAGCGGUGAAAUGCGUAGAUAUGUGGAGGAACACCAGUGGCGAAGGCGACUCUCUGGUCUGUAACUGACGCUGAGGCUCGAAAGCGUGGGGAGCAAA
rnacentral:rRNA from 1 species